rnacentral:rRNA from 1 species
UACGGGGGGGAGCAAGCGUUGUUCGGAUUUACUGGGCGUAAAGGGCUCGUAGGCGGCCAACUAAGUCAGACGUGAAAUCCCUCGGCUUAACCGGGGAACUGCGUCUGAUACUGGAUGGCUUGAGUUCGGGAGAGGGAUGCGGAAUUCCAGGUGUAGCGGUGAAAUGCGUAGAUAUCUGGAGGAACACCGGUGGCGAAGGCGGCAUCCUGGACCGACACUGACGCUGAGGAGCGAAAGCCAGGGGAGCCAAAGCGGG